GACAACAGUGAACAGCGACUGAGGGGCUCAAGUGAAGCCACCGGAGCUCUCCAUCUCUUGGUUUUUACCUCUCUCUGCAGGCUCUGUUCUCACUCGUGGCUGAUGGGCAAAGGCGGCUACGGAGGCACAGCUACGUGCAGAUGUCCUUACAGCUUUGCAACCCUCAAGGAAAAAGAGAUGUGGAUUUUAUGGAAUAGGUGCUACGUGGAGGAAUCCUGAGUCAUGGCCAAACAGCAAAUGCCAGCAAGAGUAGAGUAGGAGGCAUUUCUGUGUACACUUUGGGAAAAAGUCCAUUCCUCACUUGGUUUCAUUCCUGGCCUGAGCCACUGUGUCCUCCACCUGAAGCCCUAACCUCUCCAUUACUGACUGGAUCCCAAUGUGCCACAGUUCACCUGCAUGAGGAGGGGUCAAAGACAAGAAAACUGAAAGUGAGAGGCUAAGUCAUUUGCUGAGGUCAUAUGACAUCUAAAUGGCAGAGCUCGGAAACCUCAGGGAUUAGAGUGAAGUGGGGUCUCACUCUGUCACCCAGGCUGGAGUACAGUGGUGCAAUCAUAGCUUACUGCAGCCUUGACCUCCUAGGCUCAAGCGAUCCUCCUGCCUCAGCUCCUGAGCAGCUGGAACUACAGGUGUGUGCCACCAUGCCUGGCUUGAUGUGCUAAAUCUUGCAAGGGCAUUAUUCGGAAAACAAAGAUCUCCAAAAUUUAGUCUUCCGUUAUGUCUGCAGAAUGCACUUAGUACAUGUUUGGUCAAUUUAACGUUCGUUGGUGAACCUGGCCAGCAAAGCUUGCGAAACAGAGAAUGUGAAUGCACAGUGCACGACAGUGGGCUGAGCUUUGGACAUCAACAGGGGAAUAAAAAUCAGUUCAGCUCUUGCUAAAAUAGUUUU
rnacentral:lncRNA from 1 species